CCUACGGGUGGCAGCAGUGAGGAAUAUUGGUCAAUGGGCGCGAGCCUGAACCAGCCAAGUAGCGUGAAGGAUGACUGCCCUACGGGUUGUAAACUUCUUUUAUAAAGGAAUAAAGUGAGGCACGUGUGCCUUUUUGUAUGUACUUUAUGAAUAAGGAUCGGCUAACUCCGUGCCAGCAGCCGCGGUAAUACGGAGGAUCCGAGCGUUAUCCGGCUUUUGUGGGUUUAAAGGGAGCGUAGAUGGGUUGUUAAGUCAGUUGUGAAAGUUUGCGGCUCAACCGUAAAAUUGCAAUUGAUACUGGCGGCCUUGAGUACAGUUGAGGUAGGCGGAAUUCGUGGUGUAGCGGUGAAAUGCUUAGAUAUCACGAAGAACUCCGAUUGCGAAGGCAGCUUACUAAACUGCCACUGACAUUGAUGCUCGAAAGUGUGGGUAUCAAACAGGAUUAGAUACCCUAGUAGUC
rnacentral:rRNA from 1 species